rnacentral:rRNA from 1 species
GAUGAACGCUGGCGGCGUGCCUAAUACAUGCAAGUCGAGCGAAGCGGGGACGGGUGAGUAACACGUGGGUAACCUCCUAUAAGACUGGGAAAACUUCGGGAAACCGGAGCUAACCCGGAAACUUCGAGAUGGAUCCGCGCUGCAUUAGCUAGUUGGUAAGGUAACGGCUUACCAAGGCAACGAUGCAUAGCCGACCUGAGAGGGUGAUCAGCCACACUGGAACUGAGACACGGUCCAGACUCCUACGGGAGGCAGCAGUAGGGAAUCUUCCGCAAUGGGCGAAAGCCUGACGGAGCAACGCCGCGUGAGUGAUGAAGGUCUUCGGAUCGUAAAGCUCUGUUAUUGGGGAAGCGGUACCUAAACAGGAAGCAACGGCUAACUACGUGCCAGCAGCCGCGGUAAUUC